rnacentral:rRNA from 1 species
UACGUAGGGGGCAAGCGUUAUCCGGAAUUACUGGGUGUAAAGGGUGCGUAGGUGGCAGGGCAAGUCAGAAGUGAAAACCCGGGGCUCAACUCCGGGACUGCUUUUGAAACUGUCCAGCUAGAGUGCAGGAGAGGUAAGCGGAAUUCCUAGUGUAGCGGUGAAAUGCGUAGAUAUUAGGAGGAACAUCAGUGGCGAAGGCGGCUUACUGGACUGAAACUGACACUGAGGCACGAAAGCGUGGGGAGCAAACA